rnacentral:sRNA from 1 species
CGGCGUUAUCCUUACUUCCUUGUGCCAU